rnacentral:rRNA from 1 species
UGGGUAACCUGCCUCAAAGAGGGGAAUAGCCUCCCGAAAGGGAGAUUAAUACCGCAUAAUAUGUUUUAGUCGCAUGACUUAAACAUCAAAGGAUUUUCUUUUAGAAAUUCCACUUUGAGAUGGACCCCGCGGCGCAUUAGCUAGUUGGUGAGGUAACGGCUCACCAAGGCAACGAUGCGUAGCCGACCUGAGAGGGUNAUCGGCCACAUUGGAACUGAGACACGGUCCAGCUCCGUAGGACG